CCCUUAGAUGUUCUGGGCUGCACGCGCGCUACACUGAAGCUAUUAACACGUUUUCCCUCCCUGAGAAGGGCGGGUAACCUUUUGAAUCAGCUUCGUGGUAGGGAUCGGGGCUUGCAAUUGUUCCCCGUGAACCAGGAAUUCCUAGUAGACGCGAGUCAUAAGCUCGCAUCGAUUAAGUCCCUGCCCUUUGUACACACCGCCCGUCGCUACUACCGAUUGAACGUUUUAGUGAGGCAUUUGGACCGACGCAUCUCAGUUUAACCGCUGGUUUGUGUUGGAAAGACUUCCAAACUUGAGCGUUUAGAGGAAGUAAAAGUCGUAACA
rnacentral:rRNA from 1 species